rnacentral:rRNA from 1 species
GAUGAACGCUGGCGGCGUGCCUAACACAUGCAAGUCGAACGGGCCCACAUGGAAACCUAGUGAAGUGUGGGCUAGUGGCGGACGGGUGAGUAACGCGUGGAUAACCUGCCCCGCACUGGGGGAUAACACCUGGAAACAGGUGCUAAUACCGCAUGAGCGCACAGCACCGCAUGGUGCAGUGUGAAAAACUCCGGUGGUGCGGGAUGGAUCCGCGUCUGAUUAGCCAGUUGGCAGGGUAACGGCCUACCAAAGCGACGAUCAGUAGCCGGCCUGAGAGGGUGGACGGCCACAUUGGGACUGAGACACGGCCCAG